GGGGCUUACUCGUUCCCCCAUGGAUUGGAUAUUCACUAGUAUGUUUAGAUUAUUUCUUGUUUUCUUUGUGGUGCUGAUUUUAACUUUUAUUAUGGUAUGAGGGCAUCACUGAUUUUUAACUCUUUUAAAUUUGUUGAAUUUUUAAGUCUAUUUAGUAUAAAUUUGUGGUCACUUAGAAGAACUGUCUAUCCUGCUUUUGUUGCAUAGAGACUUUCUGUUGGUUAGAGCCUCGACAAUGAUAGGUCAGCGCUAGUUGGGCACACCCUGCCCAAGAGUGCCUGGAUGUGUGGAGCCUGGGCCCUCUCUAAAGUCCAUCUCACUUGGAAUCCUGAAGACUUGGGUUUGCUGAAUCCUUUACCACUUCCCAGUGUAGCCAUGUGAAUAGAGCUCUCUUUUCCACUUUCCACUUUUAAUUUGGCUCUUUUAAGUGGCUUAUUAAGGAUGGGUGACUGGAUUUGACUUGGGCCCCCUAGUCCAGUAACAAAGGUGUCACGGUACUCAGGACCUCCACAGUGCAGUGCUCGCCUUACCUCACACCAGGUGAGCACUGCUCUGUGAGAAAGGCGAAGACAGCACAUUCCCGCAACUUUCAGUAUUUUCUUAAAAUCAUUCUGUUUUAUGAGGAGUUAUUGUUGGUCUCUUACUGAAUUUACAUCCUGUAUAUAGAAAAAAAAAACCUAUUGUAUUUGGAGUUCAGUACCGCCUGGGUGUUUUAAUGACUAAGGGAGAUUUCUUCAUUCUUGGACUAAGGCUUCUAUUUUAAAAACAAACCCUUUGUUAAAUUUAGUAAAUGCACCAUACCUUUCAAAACAGAAUGUACAGCUGGGUGUGGUGGCACGCGCCUUUAAUCCCAGCACAUGGGAGGCAGGGGCAGGCGGAUUUCUGAGUUCAAGGCCAGCCUGGUCUACAGAGUGAGUUCCAGGACAGCCAGGGCUAUACAGAGAAACCCUGUCUCAAAAAACCAAAACCAAACAAACAAACAAAAAAACCAACCCAGAAUGUACAGAUCUGAAUUUUAUCGGGCGCUUUUUCACUAAUAGACUAUGUGACUUCCCCCCUUAUUUAUGUGUUUAGUGCUGCAGUUAGUAGUCGCAUAGUUAUUCUUUUUUUAAUUAAUUUUAAUUUAUGUUUAUGUUAUUUGCCUGCAUAUAUGUCUAUUAGGGUAUCAGAUCUUGCGGUGAACCUGUGUCCUCUGGGAGGACAUUCAGUGCUCUUAACUGCUGAGCCAUCUCUCUAUCUAGCCUGUGACAUAGAUAGAAAUUCAUAUGUUUCAUCUUCAGUGAUUUUUUUUUUGUUUGUUUUUUGUUUGUUAUUAGAAAAGAGAGAGAUUCACUCAGUCUGAUUUGGAUUGGUUAGUUGAAGAAUGCAUGACGAUGAUAUGUGUAUCUGUUUUCUGAGACGUUAUUUGGGGGGUUUUGAUCUGUUCUGCUAAGUUAUAUUAGUUUAUACUUGAGGUUAUUUUGUUUGUUUGUUUGUUUUUUGUUUUGUUUUGUUUUGUUUUUGGUUUUUUGAGACAGGGUUUCUCUGUGUAGCCCUGGCUGUCCUGGAACUCACUUUGUAGACCAGGCUGGCCUUGGAAUUCAGAAAUCCGCCUGCCUCUGCCUCCCGAGUGCUGGGAUUAAAGGCGUGAGCCACCACGCCUGGCUCUUGAGGUUAUUCUGAACAUUGAUGUUCAACGUUGACUUGCAGGAGCCCUCUUCUUGUCUUCUUUUCUGUACUUAGGAAUAUGAAAUUUACCAAUAACUGUGUCUUUUUCUGAAUGUUGAACUUUCCAAGGGCUACACCACUACUCUUCUUACUCUUUGGGGUGAAUCUUUUUGUGUCUUUUGUUUUGUGACUUGUGUGCUUUCUGAAUUAUAAAUGUAGUAAUAGAGGCUAGUGUGUUGUUACAAAAGCUCUUAACCCCGGAGGUUAACAGGUGAAGCGCUCGCAGCCAAGCGUGAGAACGGGAGUUUGGAUCCCUGGCAUCAGUGGUGUUUGUUGCUUUUAUAUCUCUUUCACAGCUUCAUAUAAGAAAACCCAAUUACACAGAACACUUGCACAUAUAAGCAAAAGUUGCAGUUUUCACAUUUAUGUUAUAAAAGUAAUACUUUAGGGAAGCUGUUCUUAUGAUUCAGGAUUUAAAAUAAUUGGUAUAGAUUGCACACUUAAUUCCCAGACCAUAGAACAUUUCCAUUUCCCAGGAAGCCGUCUUCCAGACUUUUCCAUAAGCACCCAGUCCAUCCUCAUCCUGCUUUUUCUCCGUCUAAGACCUGAGGGUGGUAACUUCUGCUCUCCUAGGCCUUCCAUGGACUGUCAUGACAUGGGGUUUUGUUUAAGAUACUUUAUUACAGCCUGUAGCUUUUCCUGUGUUCAUAAUCGAGGAAAAAUGCCCUGUCUCCUUAAGUUAUGCAGGUCAAGAACUUAUAAAGUGUUACAUAAUCUCAUAUAAAGAAUGUAUUUUUUUUCUUAGUGACUGGACAUCUCCUAACUGAGAACCCGGAGUGUGUUUGUCAUUUCUGUCUUUAGGACUUAGUGGGGAAAAGGACAACACUAGCUUACUUAACCCUUUAUUGUCUUGCUUUCCGGUUAUUUUCUAUAGAACUUGAAACCACAUUGAAUAUGUUCCUUUUAACCCUUCUCUUAAUACAGUAUGAAUGUUCCUUUGUGCCAUGGAAUAAUUCCUUUCAACUGUUCUUUUUUUUCUUUUCUUUUCCAGUUUUACUGGCAUGGUUUUACUCUGUAGCCCAUGCUGGCUUGGAAGUCAUUUCCUCCUGCCUCAGCCUCUUGAGUUCUGAGAUUACAGUCAUACCCUGCAACUCAGGCUUUAAAACAUUCUUAAUGACUGGAGGGUAUC
rnacentral:lncRNA from 1 species